GCAAGUUUUUUUCUCCUGGGGCAUGCUUGGUGAUAGAUGGAAAGGACAUAUUCCUAUCGUUAAAAGAUAUAGGUCCUGGUUAGCCCUGACCAUUAUCCGAUCGCUAAGACGCUUGCACACUCCCUCAAAGCUCCAUACAGGGGCCUGGUAUAGCCAUCCACCAUUAUCCGUGUCCAAUUCCCCUUCAAACUGCCUGGCUCUCUUGCACGGUCCAUCAAAACUCCGUAAGUUUUCCCUC